GAGGGGCGGGCACCUCCUCCAGCCUCUACUAUAUUGGAUGACUUGUCGAUGUCCCUGCCGCAUGGCUUAAACUGCUUCAAUAAACCUUGCUUUUGCAUUUCGGUGAGUUCGUGUCUCUGGUGGUCUCUUCGGGGGUCUCACACCCAGGGAACAACAUUUGGCGGCUCGUCUAGGAUUUUGGGGGACCCCAGAGACCCCGCAACCCGAAGGUUUACAACGGUGAUCAGUGUUCGGGCAGCUGGCAGGAACUCGCAGCAAUGAGUCUGGCAGGCAGCAGCUGCGCAGCUCAGGACACCACUGAGUAGGAAAGAUACUUUACCUUAUGGGCCUGAUGGCGGAAGAAGAUUGAUGCUGUUCUGACUGGUACCUCCAACGCUAUGGUAACCUGGGUAUGGACUGGUCCCUGUCAUUUAUAGAAUUGAAAGCUGCUUGGUCUGCACUCAGAUAUAAUUUAUCCUUCUCAAAUCUCUGAUAGUACUGAUGGCUAGGUUAGCUAUAACUUUGUCAGCUUGGCAGCAUCAGACAACCAGAUCCUUCUCCAAGGGUAUAGCCAGCUUGUUAGCUCACUUUUAAAAUAUUAAAACUUAAAUAAGCCAUAAAGGUUCAAAUAUGAGUCUAAAAAAGGGCCUGAGGAUAUAAAAGCUUCUAAGCUUUACGGAUCUCAAAAAAAAUAAUUUAAGAUAUAAAUACAAGAUAUAAAGAUAAAAAAAUGUUUCAGAUUGCUCUCCUGUUCUAUGAUAUAACAGUUCAGAGUUUAACAUUUAAUAGAGUCCAUGUAAGCUGGUAGAGCAAUGACUACUUACUAUUCAGUCACAAGCUCAACAUUUUAGAUUUAUUUUAGAUGUCAUGUAAAUAUAUCUAAAUAUAAACCUAGAAAUGCUUCUUAUCAGGCCAAAAAUCUCUGUCCAAUUUAUACGUGGCUCUCUGGACAGAAGGAAAAUGCACCUGCUUUAACACAAAUCGGUAGUUCUUAUUGGGACUCAAAGGUAUGAGUCCACUUCUGUUGUUUUACAGAUACCCAUUGUCUGCCUUGUCUACAAUAUGGAUUUCAGUACAGAUUAGUAAUACUAAUGUAUCUAAAACUUUUAUGUCAUUUUGUAAGAUCGUUCUUGUAGCCCUAGAGAAUUAAAAGAGUCAUGAAACUUGGAUCCACUUCACAGAGAUUAGAAGGAUCCCAGAUAAGUGCAACUUAUUCCUAAAAAUGAUAUUUUUCCUCUCUCCUGGUCUUAAGACUCCUGCCUUUCCCAAUUACUAAAAGUAUGGGCCUAAGGGUUCCAAAUAAGUUCAUAAAUUUUAACUUCUGUUCCUAGUUUAAGUUUGUCUCAACAGAUUUCCAUUUGGCUGGCAGUCUCCUCCAAGCUUCAGUUGCUGACUACACUGCUCCUGAUGACUAUGAACUCUGGACUUGCUAAAAGCUGACAUGGACCAUUCUAGCCGAUGUGACUGUUUCUAUCUCUACAUGGUCAGAUAGUCACAUGCUUACAAAUGCCCCAUUGCCCAGCCUUUGACCAGCCUUUCAGCCUUUGACUAGCCUUUCAGCCUUUUGUAGGCCCUGACAAUGGCGCCCUUUUGCCAGCUGGAAGCAGUUCCAGAAGAGACUAUGUCAUCCCAUGUUCCUGUCCAGAAUAAGGUUGAAAUGCUGGGUCAAAAGGAAAUUCCCUGGCAUAGAGUAAACGUGACUGAGAGACCAGCCAGGGAUGGUUCAAGUCCUGGUUCAACAGCUCUCCCUGGUUAACUACUUUAAUUUCCACCCUAAUGGGCCCAUUAAUAGUCUUGCUUCUGAUACUAACCCUGAGGCCCUCUAUCCUCAACCGACUGCUCCAAUACAUGAGACAGAGGCUGGGUACAAUUCAGCUCAUGGUACAAAAACCACAAAAAAUAAUGCCCAUGGAGACCAGGGACACCUAUAAGCUGGCCAUUAGGAACCCAUGAUUGGGUUCCAUUAGGCACAUGAGAAGGGGGAAAUGAAGAUCCAAAGCACCCCCAUUUCAAGUA